rnacentral:rRNA from 1 species
GAUGAACGCUGACAGAAUGCUUAACACAUGCAAGUCGGCUCGAGUCUUCGGACUUGGGUGGCGCACGGGUGAGUAACGCGUAAAGAACUUGCCUCUUAGACCGGGACAACAUCUGGAAACGGAUGCUAAUACCGGAUAUUAUGGUUUUUUCGCAUGGAGGAAUCAUGAAAGCUGGAUGCGCUAAGAGAGAGCUUUGCGUCCCAUUAGCUGGUUGGUGAGGUAACGGCCCACCAAGGCAAUGAUGGGUAGCCGGCCUGAGAGGGUGAACGGCCACAAGGGGACUGAGACACGGCCCUUACUCCUACGGGAGGCAGCAGUGGGGAAUAUUGGACAAUGGACCGCAAGUCUGAUCCAGCAAUUCUGUGUGCACGAUGACGUUUUUCGGAAUGUAAAGUGCUUUCAGUCGGGAAGAAGUCAGUGACGGUACCGACAGAAGAAGCGACGGCUAAAUACGUGCCAGCAGCCGCGGUAAUACGUAUGUCGCAAGCGUUAUCCGGAUUUAUUGGGCGUAAAGCGCGUCUAGGCGGCAAGGAAAGUCUGAUGUGAAAAUGCGGAGCUCAACUCCGUAUGGCGUUGGAAACUGCCUUACUAGAGUACUGGAGAGGUAGGCGGAACUACAAGUGUAGAGGUGAAAUUCGUAGAUAUUUGUAGGAAUGCCGAUGGGGAAGCCAGCCUACUGGACAGAUACUGACGCUAAAGCGCGAAAGCGUGGGUAGCAAACAGG